rnacentral:rRNA from 1 species
AGUAGUUUGAUCAGUGGCUCAGGACGAACGCUGGCGGCGUGCCUAACACAUGCAAGUCGAACGGAGUGAUUUGGAUUCGUCUGGAUCACUUAGUGGCGGACGGGUGAGUAACGCGUGAGCAACCUGCCCUUCAGAGGGGGACAACAGUUGGAAACGACUGCUAAUACCGCAUAAUAUAUAUUUAAGGCAUCUUAGGUAUAUCAAAGAUUUUAUCGCUGAAGGAUGGGCUCGCGUCUGAUUAGAUAGUUGGUGGGGUAACGGCCUACCAAGUCGACGAUCAGUAGCCGGACUGAGAGGUUGAACGGCCACAUUGGGACUGAGAUACGGCCCAGACUCC